AGGUAAGCUACUAAGAGCGAAUGGUGGAUGCCUUGACUGGUAAAGGCGAUGAAGGACGUACUAGACUGCGAUAAGCUACGGGGAGCUGUCAAGAAGCUUUGAUCCGUAGAUUUCCGAAUGGGGCAACCCAAUGUAUAGAGAUAUACAUUACCUAUAUAGGAGCGAACGAGGGGAAUUGAAACAUCUUAGUACCCUCAGGAAAAGAAAUCAAUAGAGAUUGCGUCAGUAGCGGCGAGCGAAAGCGCAAGAGGGCAAACCCAGUGCUUGCACUGGGGGUUGUAGGACUGCAAUGUGCAAGAGGUAAGUUUAGCAGAACAUUCUGGAAAGUAUAACCAUAGAGGGUGAUAGUCCCGUAUGCGAAAAACAAACCUUAGCUAGCAGUAUCCUGAGUAGGGCGGGACACGAGGAAUCCUGUCUGAAUCCGGGUCGACCACGAUCCAACCCUAAAUACUAAUACCAGAUCGAUAGUGCACAAGUACCGUGAGGGAAAGGUGAAAAGAACUGAGGUGAUCAGAGUGAAAUAGAACCUGAAACCAUUUGCUUACAAUCAUUCAGAGCCCUAUGUAGCAAUACAGGGUGAUGGACUGCCUUUUGCAUAAUGAGCCUGCGAGUUGUGGUGUCUGGCAAGGUUAAGCAAACGCGAAGCCGUAGCGAAAGCGAGUCUGAAUAGGGCGCUUAGUCAGAUGCUGCAGACCCGAAACGAAGUGAUCUAUCCAUGAGCAAGUUGAAGCUAGUGUAAGAACUAGUGGAGGACUGAACCCAUAGGCGUUGAAAAGCCCCGGGAUGACUUGUGGAUAGGGGUGAAAGGCCAAUCAAACUUCGUGAUAGCUGGUUCUCUCCGAAAUAUAUUUAGGUAUAGCGUUGUGUCGUAAUAUAAGGGGGUAGAGCACUGAAUGGGCUAGGGCAUACACCAAUGUACCAAACCCUAUCAAACUCCGAAUACCUUAUAUGUAAUCACAGCAGUCAGGCGGCGAGUGAUAAAAUCCGUCGUCAAGAGGGAAACAACCCAGACUACCAGCUAAGGUCCCUAAGUCUUACUUAAGUGGAAAACGAUGUGAAGUUACUUAAACAACCAGGAGGUUGGCUUAGAAGCAGCCAUCCUUUAAAGAAAGCGUAAUAGCUCACUGGUCUAGUGAUUUUGCGCGGAAAAUAUAACGGGGCUAAAGUAAGUACCGAAGCUGUAGACUUAGUUUACUAAGUGGUAGGAGAGCGUUCUAUUUGCGUCGAAGGUAUACCGGUAAGGAGUGCUGGAGCGAAUAGAAGUGAGCAUGCAGGCAUGAGUAGCGAUAAUUAAUGUGAGAAUCAUUAACGCCGUAAACCCAAGGUUUCCUACGCGAUGCU
rnacentral:rRNA from 1 species